UUAAAAGCAAAGAACAAGAGGAGUAAGUUUGGAACAUCUAUCCAGAGAAAAGAAGAAAAAUGCUGAGAUCUUCUUAUAGAAAGUUAAACUGAAUGUAGCUUGGGAGCUGAUAUAUAGAAAUAAUAGUAAAUAUAUCCGUGUAGUUUACGUUACAAAACAAAUGAGAUGUAUAUUUUAUAGAAAGUAUACAAAUAAGGUGGUACCGCGAGAAAUAUUCUUGCCCUUAAC
rnacentral:ncRNA from 1 species